rnacentral:rRNA from 1 species
AACGAACGCUGGCGGCAGGCUUAACACAUGCAAGUCGAACGCCCCGCAAGGGGAGUGGCAGACGGGUGAGUAACGCGUGGGAACGUGCCCUUCGCUUCGGAAUCUUCCCGGGAAACUGGGAGCAGUGCCGGAUACGCCGAAUUGGGAAAGAUUUAUCGGCGAAGGAUCGGCCCGCGUUAGAUUAGGUAGUUGGUGGGGUAAUGGACUACCCAGGCUACGAUCUAUAGCUGGUCUGAGAGGAUGAUCAGCCACACUGGGGCUGAGACACGGCCCAGACUCCUACGGGAGGCAGCAGUGGGGAAUCUUGGACAAUGGGCGCAAGCUUGAUCCAGCCAUGCCGCGUGAGUGAAGAAGGCCUUAGGGUUGUAAAACACUUUCGCCGGUGAAGAUAAUGACAGUAGCCGGAGAAGAAGCCCCGGCUAACUUCGUGCCAGCCGCCGCCGUAACAC